GACGAACGCUGGCGGCGUGCUUAACACAUGCAAGUCGUACGAUGAAGGAAAGCUUGCUCUCCGGAUUAGUGGCGAACGGGUGAGUAACACGUGACUAACCUGCCCCUUUCUCUGGGAUAACGCUCCGAAAGGAGUGCUAAUACCGGAUACGAACACUGAAAACACGUUCGGAGUUGGAAAGUUUGUCGGAAAGGGAUGGAGUCGCGGCCUAUCGGCUUGUUGGUGAGGUAACGGCUCACCAAGGCGACGACGGGUAGCCGGCCUGAGAGGGCGACCGGCCACACUGGGACUGAGACACGGCCCAGACUCCUACGGGAGGCAGCAGUGGGGAAUAUUGCACAAUGGGCGAGAGCCUGAUGCAGCGACGCCGCGUGAGGGAUGAAGGUCUUCGGAUUGUAAACCUCUUUCAGUAGGGACGAAGCGAAAGUGACGGUACCUAAAGAAGAAGCACCGGCUAACUACGUGCCAGCCGCCGCCGUAA
rnacentral:rRNA from 1 species